rnacentral:rRNA from 1 species
GAUGAACGCUGGCGGCGUGCCUAAUACAUGCAAGUCGAGCGAACAGAUGAGGAGCUUGCUCCUCUGACGUUAGCGGCGGACGGGUGAGUAACACGUGGAUAACCUACCUAUAAGACUGGGAUAACUUCGGGAAACCGGAGCUAAUACCGGAUAAUAUAUUGAACCGCAUGGUUCAAUAGUGAAAGACGGUUUUGCUGUCACUUAUAGAUGGAUCCGCGCCGCAUUAGCUAGUUGGUAAGGUAACGGCUUACCAAGGCAACGAUGCGUAGCCGACCUGAGAGGGUGAUCGGCCACACUGGAACUGAGACACGGUCCAGACUCCUACGGGAGGCAGCAGUAGGGAAUCUUCCGCAAAGGGCGAAAGCCUGACGGAGCAACGCCGCGUGAGUGAUGAAGGUCUUCAGAUCGUAAAACUCUGUUAUUGGGGAAGAACAAAUGUGUAAGUAACUAUGCACGUCUUGACGGUACCUAAUCAGAAAGCCACGGCUAACUACGUG